CAGGGGUGAGAGCAGCACCCCUGGGCUUCCCUGCCUGGAGUUGCUGUUACAUUCUAGGACUAGCUUAUUCAGGGGAAAGGCUCUGAAGGGAAAAUGGAACUUCCCCUCCAGCCAGGGUCAGAGGAGGAUAAGCAUCAGAGAGGGUGGGUGGAGGGCUGGAGCCAAACAAAGGGGAGGCAGCAAUUCUGUAUUGCGGGAGAGGAGUAAAGGCAAAAGAAAUCUGCUCUGGCAAAGCACCCAUUAUAUUCCCAAUGCUGGAUAUUCAAAGACAAAAGAAGCAGGCCCUGCCCAUAGUGAGCUUUUCGUGGAGUUGGGGAGAUCAUCUACAAGGCACAUGGAGCAUUCAGGACAGUAUCGCAUGCUGUGCCCAGCAGUGGAG
rnacentral:lncRNA from 1 species